GCUCCAGUGGCGCAAUGGGCCAGCGCGCAGCACUUAUAAUGCUGAGGGUGUGAGUUCAAGCCUCACCUGGAGCA